GGUGGCGGAAUUGGUAGACGCGCUAGCUUCAGGUGUUAGUGUCCUUACGGACGUGGGGGUUCAAGUCCCCCCC
rnacentral:tRNA from 3 species